CAAAUUAAGCUAUAGUAGCGAUUAUUAUUUACAUUAUUAAUCUAUUUGUGCAAUUCAAAUUAAUUUGA
rnacentral:tRNA from 1 species